rnacentral:rRNA from 1 species
CUACGGGUCGCACCAGUGAGGAAUUUUGCGCAAUGGGGGAAACCCUGACGCAGCAACGCCGCGUGAGUGAUGAAGGCUUUCGGGUCGUAAAGCUCUGUCAAGUGGGAAGAACCCAUAUGGUGUUAAUACCGCCAUAUGCUGACGGUACCACUGAAGGAAGCACCGGCUAACUCCGUGCCAGCAGGCCGCGGUAAUACGGGGGGUGCGAGCGUUAUUCGGAAUUACUGGGCGUAAAGAGCGCGUAGGCGGUCUUUUAAGUCAGGUGUGAAAGCCCGGGGCUCAACCCCGGAAGUGCACUUGAAACUAAGAGACUUGAGUAUGGGAGAGGGAAGUGGAAUUCCUGGUGUAGCGGUGAGAUGCGUAGAUAUCAGGAGGAACAUCGGUGGCGAAGGCGACUUCCUGGACCAAUACUGACGCUGAGGCGCGAAGGCGUGGGGAGCAAACAGGAUUAGAUACCCGCGUAGUC